GACGAACGCUGGCGGCGUGCUUAACACAUGCAAGUCGAGCGAGGUCCAUCCAGUGGCAACACUGGGGAAGACCUAGCGGCGAACGGGUGAGUAACACGUGAGCAACCUGCCCCGAAGACUGGGAUAACACCGGGAAACCGGUGCUAAUACCGGAUGCCCUCACCGGGCCGCAUGACCUGGUGAGGAAAUGAAUUUUGCUUCGGGAGGGCUCGCGGGCUAUCAGCUUGUUGGUGAGGUAACGGCUCACCAAGGCUACGACGGCUAGCUGGUCUGAGAGGACGAUCAGCCACACUGGGACUGAGACACGGCCCAGACUCCUACGGGAGCAGCAGUGGGGAAUCUUGCGC
rnacentral:rRNA from 1 species